rnacentral:lncRNA from 1 species
GAGUCAAUGUGGAGGCUAUAUACAGGGGGUACCGGUACAGAGUCAAUGUGGAGGCUAUAUACAGGGGGUACCGGUACAGAGUCAAUGUGGAGGCUAUAUACAGGGGGGACCGGUACAGAGUCAAUGUGGAGGCUAUAUACAGGGGGUACCGGUACAGAGUCAAUGUGGAGGCUAUAUACAGGGUAUUACGGUACAGAGUCAAUGUGGAGGCUAUAUACAGGGUAUUACGGUACAGAGUCAAUGUGGAGGCUAUAUACAGGGGGUACCGGUACAGAGUCAAUGUGGAGGCUAUAUACAGGGGGUACCGGUACAGAGUCAAUGUGGAGGCUAUAUACAGGGGGUACCGGUACUGAGUCAAUGUGGAGGCUAUAUACAGGGGGUACCGGUACUGAGUCAAUGUGGAGGCUAUAUACAGGGGGUACCGGUACAGAGUCAAUGUGGAGGCUAUAUACAGGGGGUACCGGUACAGAGUCAAUGUGGAGGCUAUAUACAGGGGGUACCGGUACAGAGUCAAUGUGGAGGCUAUAUACAGGGGGGUACCGGUACAGAGUCAAUGUGGAGGCUAUAUACAGGGGGUACCGGUACAGAGUCAAUGUGGAGACUAUAUACAGGGGGUACCGGUACAGAGUCAGUGUGGAGGCUAUAUACAGGGGGUACCGGUACAGAGUCAAUGUGGAGGCUAUAUACAGGGGGUACUGGUACAGAGUCAAUGUGGAGGCUAUAUACAGGGGGUACCGGUACAGAGUCAGUGUGGAGGCUAUAUACAGGGGGUACUGGUACAGAGUCAAUGUGGAGGCUAUAUACAGGGGGUACCGGUACAGAGUCAAUGUGGAGGCUAUAUACAGGGGGUACCGGUACAGAGUCAAUGUGGAGG